rnacentral:rRNA from 1 species
GAACGCUGGCGGCAGGCCUAACACAUGCAAGUCGAGCGGUAACAUUUCUAGCUUGCUAGAAGAUGACGAGCGGCGGACGGGUGAGUAACGCGUAGAAAUCUACCUAGUAGUGGGGGAUAGCCCAGAGAAAUUUGGAUUAAUACCGCAUACGCCUACGGGGGAAAGCGGGGGAUCUUCGGACCUCGUACUAUUAGAUGAGUCUGCGUCGGAUUAGCUUGUUGGUGAGGUAAUGGCUCACCAAGGCGACGAUCCGUAGCUGGUCUGAGAGGAUGACCAGCCACACUGGAACUGAGACACGGUCCAGACUCCUACGGGAGGCAGCAGUGGGGAAUAUUGCACAAUGGGCGCAAGCCUGAUGCAGCCAUGCCGCGUGUGUGAAGAAGGCCUUAGGGUUGUAAAGCACUUUCAGCAGUGAGGAAAGGGGUGUCGUUAAUAGCGCCAUCCUGUGACGUUAACUGCAGAAGAAGGACCGGCUAACUCCGUG